rnacentral:rRNA from 1 species
GCUUCCCUCUUUCUUCGUGCCUAAUACAUGCAAGUCGAGCGAACAGACGAGGAGCUUGCUCCUCUGACGUUAGCGGCGGACGGGUGAGUAACACGUGGAUAACCUACCUAUAAGACUGGGAUAACUUCGGGAAACCGGAGCUAAUACCGGAUAAUAUAUUGAACCGCAUGGUUCAAUAGUGAAAGACGGUUUUGCUGUCACUUAUAGAUGGAUCCGCGCCGCAUUAGCUAGUUGGUAAGGUAACGGCUUACCAAGGCGACGAUGCGUAGCCGACCUGAGAGGGUGAUCGGCCACACUGGAACUGAGACACGGUCCAGACUCCUACGGGAGGCAGCAGUAGGGAAUCUUCCGCAAUGGGCGAAAGCCUGACGGAGCAACGCCGCGUGAGUGAUGAAGGUCUUCGGAUCGUAAAACUCUGUUAUUAGGGAAGAACAAAUGUGUAAGUAACUAUGCACGUCUUGACGGUACCUAAUCAGAAAGCCACGGCUAACUACGUG